CAUGCACUUAACUUAGCCACCUCAAUAGAAUUCUUAAAUGUCGAACAAAAAAGUUGUGAGGCUCGAAUGUGUAGUCAAAAGUGACUUCAGUGUCUAACAAAUGGUGUACUAUGUUCGAGGGCUCCAGAGAAAGGAGUCGAGCCUCGAUUAAGGGGAGGUUGGUCGAAGGCUAUAUAAGCUUCAGGAGAGGCUCUAUGGUGUACUUUGUUCGAAGUGAGGAUUGUUGAAGAUUAUUGAAAGGAGUAAUACCACGUUAGCUAAUUAAGAGGAAGAUCAUGGGUUUAUAAGUAAGAAACACUAUCUCCAUUGAUAUGAGGCCUUUUGGGGAAACUAAAAGCAAAGUCAUGAGAGAUUAUGCUCAAAGUGGACAAUAUUAUACCACCGCGGAGGUUCGCGAUUCCAAACAAUAACUAUGGUUCAUAGUCACCUGAGGACAUAUUACCAAGACAUAUUAUAAGCUUCAGCAGCCGUGUCUAAUUUCGAAUCU